rnacentral:rRNA from 1 species
GAGCGGGUGUAGCAAUACAUCAGCGGCAGACGGGUGAGUAACGCGUGGGAACGUACCUUUUGGUUCGGAACAACCCAGGGAAACUUGGGCUAAUACCGGAUAAGCCCUUACGGGGAAAGAUUUAUUGCCGAGGGAUCGGCCCGCGUCCGAUUAGCUAGUUGGUGGGGUAAUGGCCCACCAAGGCGACGAUCGGUAGCUGGUCUGAGAGGACGAUCAGCCUCACUGGGACUGAGACACGGCCCAGACUCCUACGGGAGGCAGCAGUGGGGAAUAUUGGACAAUGGGCGCAAGCCUGAUCCAGCCAUGCCGCGUGGGUGAUGAAGGCCUUAGGGUUGUAAAGCCCUUUCGGCGGGGAAGAUAAUGACGGUACCCGCAGAAGAAGCCCCGGCCAACUUCGUG